GAUUUGGGCGGCGAAGACUCCAGUGCCAAUAAAGAUACUUGGUACAAGACCCAGGAAGCCUCGGAGGUUCUUAGGUGCUAUCUCACCCAGGAGCCGAUGGAGAGACUUACACCAGAUGGCCAAAGGAUUAACACACUUCUGAAGGGCAGAUGGGACGAGGCGAUGCUGGUGCACUUUGAAGGACAACAGGGCACCAGGGAGGGAGAGGUUAUCAGUAGCUCUGAAUACAGCGGACAGAGGCAUGAUUGAUAGAAGGGCCUGAUCUAGUGCUUUUUGUGCCAAUGUAAGAGAGAGAGAGAGUGUGUGUGUGUGUCUUUGAGUGUGUUUCCGAGUACAGAUGUCUUAUUCCCUCAUUUUGUUUUAUCCCAUAUAUUUUCACUCUUGUAUGUACAACACCACAUAUA